CUUGACCGAUCCCAGCCACAGCGGCUGGUCGGCGGCACGCUCCUGGCCGUACGUCGCGAGCAGCGCCUGUGCCUC
rnacentral:antisense_RNA from 1 species